CGCGGCCUAUCAGCUUGUUGGUGGGGUAACGGCCUACCAAGGCGAUGACGGGUAGCAGGCCUGAGAGGGUGGUCUGUCACACUGGGACUGAGACACUGCCCAGACUCCUACGGGAGGCUGCAGUCGAGAAUCUUCCGCAAUGGGCGAAAGCCUGACGGAGCGACGCCGCGUGGAGGACGAAGGCCCUCGGGUUGUAAACUCCUGUCACGGGUGAUGAAUGUGUAUGUGUUAAUAGCGCAUGCAUUGACGUAAGCCCGAAAGGAAGCACCGGCUAACUCCGUGCCAGCAGCCGCGGUAAUACGGAGGGUGCAAACGUUGUUCGGAAUCACUGGGCAUAAAGGGCUCGUAGGCGGCUGUGCAAGUGUGGAGUGAAAUCCCACGGCUCACCCGUGGAACUGCUUUGCAGACUGCACGGCUAGAGGAUGGUAGGGGAGAGCGGAACUCCUGGUGGAGCGGUGAAAUGCGUAGAUAUCAGGAGGAACACCGGUGGCGAAGGCGGCUCUCUGGUCCAUCUCUGACGCUGAGGAGCGAAAGCCAGGGUAGCGAACGGGAUUAGAUACCCCGGUAGUCCUGGCCGUAAACGAUGGGCACUAGCUAGGGGUCUCCCUGUGGGAUCCCUGGUGAAGCAAAUGUGAUAAGUGCCCCGCCUGGGGAGUACGG
rnacentral:rRNA from 1 species